rnacentral:rRNA from 1 species
CAAUAGCGUAUAUUAGAGUUGUUGCGGUUAAAAAGCUCGUAGUUGGAUCUCGGCAGGCAGGGGGUGGUUCGCUCUUAGCGCUACUGCCCCAUUUGCCUGUGUGAUUGGCGGAGGUUUCGGGGUGCUCUUCGUUGAGUGACCCGGGGCGCCGUCAGGUUUACUUUGAAAAAAUUAGAGUGCUCAAAGCAGGCUUUUCACGCUUGAAUAUUCGUGCAUGGAAUAAUGGAAUAGGAACUCGUUUCUAUUUUGUUGGUUUUCGGAAAUCGAGUUAAUGAUUAAUAGGGACAAUUGGGGGCAUUAGUAUUCAGACGACAGAGGUGAAAUUCUUGGACCGUCUGAAGACUAACUACUGCGAAAGCAUUUGCCAAGAGUGUUUUCAUUAA